rnacentral:rRNA from 2 species
CAUAGGUUAAUGAGGCGAACCGGGGGAACUGAAACAUCUAAGUACCCCGAGGAAAAGAAAUCAACCGAGAUUCCCCCAGUAGCGGCGAGCGAACGGGGAGGAGCCCAGAGCCUGAAUCAGUGUGUGUGUUAGUGGAAGCGUCUGGAAAGGCGCGCGAUACAGGGUGACAGCCCCGUACACAAAAAUGCACAUAUUGUGAGCUCGAUGAGUAGGGCGGGACACGUGGUAUCCUGUCUGAAUAUGGGGGGACCAUCCUCCAAGGCUAAAUACUCCUGACUGACCGAUAGUGAACCAGUACCGUGAGGGAAAGGCGAAAAGAACCCCGGCGAGGGGAGUGAAAAAGAACCUGAAACCGUGUACGUACAAGCAGUGGGAGCCUCUUUAUGGGGUGACUGCGUACCUUUUGUAUAAUGGGUCAGCGACUUAUAUUCUGUAGCAAGGUUAACCGAAUAGGGGAGCCGAAGGGAAACCGAGUCUUAACUGGGCGUUAAGUUGCAGGGUAUAGACCCGAAACCCGGUGAUCUAGCCAUGGGCAGGUUGAAGGUUGGGUAACACUAACUGGAGGACCGAACCGACUAAUGUUGAAAAAUUAGCGGAUGACUUGUGGCUGGGGGUGAAAGGCCAAUCAAACCGGGAGAUAGCUGGUUCUCCCCGAAAGCUAUUUAGGUAGCGCCUCGUGAAUUCAUCUCCGGGGGUAGAGCACUGUUUCGGCAAGGGGGUCAUCCCGACUUACCAACCCGAUGCAAACUGCGAAUACCGGAGAAUGUUAUCACGGGAGACACACGGCGGGUGCUAACGUCCGUCGUGAAGAGGGAAACAACCCAGACCGCCAGCUAAGGUCCCAAAGUCAUGGUUAAGUGGGAAACGAUGUGGGAAGGCCCAGACAGCCAGGAUGUUGGCUUAGAAGCAGCCAUCAUUUAAAGAAAGCGUAAUAGCUCACUGGUCGAGUCGGCCUGCGCGGAAGAUGUAACGGGGCUAAACCAUGCACCGAAGCUGCGGCAGCGACACUAUGUGUUGUUGGGUAGGGGAGCGUUCUGUAAGCCUGUGAAGGUGGCCUGUGAGGGUUGCUGGAGGUAUCAGAAGUGCGAAUGCUGACAUAAGUAACGAUAAAGCGGGUGAAAAGCCCGCUCGCCGGAAGACCAAGGGUUCCUGUCCAACGUUAAUCGGGGCAGGGUGAGUCGACCCCUAAGGCGAGGCCGAAAGGCGUAGUCGAUGGGAAACAGGUUAAUAUUCCUGUACUUGGUGUUACUGCGAAGGGGGGACGGAGAAGGCUAUGUUGGCCGGGCGACGGUUGUCCCGGUUUAAGCGUGUAGGCUGGUUUUCCAGGCAAAUCCGGAAAACCAAGGCUGAGGCGUGAUGACGAGGCACUACGGUGCUGAAGCGACAAAUGCCCUGCUUCCAGGAAAAGCCUCUAAGCAUCAGGUAACAUCAAAUCGUACCCCAAACCGACACAGGUGGUCAGGUAGAGAAUACCAAGGCGCUUGAGAGAACUCGGGUGAAGGAACUAGGCAAAAUGGUGCCGUAACUUCGGGAGAAGGCACGCUGAUAUGUAGGUGAAGCGACUUGCUCGUGGAGCUGAAAUCAGUCGAAGAUACCAGCUGGCUGCAACUGUUUAUUAAAAACACAGCACUGUGCAAACACGAAA